rnacentral:rRNA from 1 species
AUUGAACGCUGGCGGCAGGCUUAACACAUGCAAGUCGAGCGGUAACAGGCCGCAAGGUGCUGACGAGUGGCGAACGGGUGAGUAAUGCAUCGGAACGUGCCCAGUCGUGGGGGAUAACGCAGCGAAAGCUGCGCUAAUACCGCAUACGAUCUAUGGAUGAAAGCGGGGGACCGUAAGGCCUCGCGCGAUUGGAGCGGCCGAUGUCAGAUUAGGUAGUUGGUGGGGCAAAGGCUCACCAAGCCAACGAUCUGUAGCUGGUCUGAGAGGACGACCAGCCACACUGGGACGAAGACACGGCCGAGACUCCUACGGGAGGCAGCAGUGGGAAUUUUGGACAGUGGGCGCAAGCCUGAUCCAGCAAUGCCGCGUGCAGGAAGAAGGCCUUCGGGUUGUAAACUGCUGUUGUACGGAACGAAAAGGUCCUGGUUAAUACCUGGGGCUAAUGACGGUACCGUAAGAAUAAGCACCGGCUAACUACGUGCCAGCCGCCGCCGUAACAC